rnacentral:lncRNA from 13 species
CACCCCAUCCCCUCUCUCCCCACACACCAUCCUCUCUCUCCCCACACCCCAUCCUCUCUCUUCCCACACCUCAUCCUCUCUUUCUGUCACCCCACCCGUUCUCUUUCUCCAUGACUUUGUUUUAUUAAUGUCGGCCUGAAACUCCAAUUUGUUUUCACCCAAAUUACUUGUCAAUAGGCCUGCUUAAGCAUGCCGCAUUUGGCCGCCAAGUAUAAGGAAUCAGCCAAUCGGUCACAUCUGCAGUUCCUGGAGUUCGUCCACUCACGACUCUGCCUACUGAAGCUGUCAACUUCAUGAAAGCUUCAAAUGGAAGUGUAACGAUCUUCUUCAUCUGAUGAGGAGUAUGAAAGAUCGGACCAAAACACAGCAUGGAGCUGACUUGUCUGCCCUAUUGUUGGCAUGUGAACUGAACACAGCGCUGUCCAAUGGAUCUGAUAUCCAAUGACCUUUCUGGAUGAGUCAACAGAGGUGGCCCACUUAAUGAACUGAAGCAGACACCAACAUCUAGAGUCCUGGGACCUGACCUGCUAUUCCAUUCUGCUGGCAUUACAGAUCAUAUGUGGAGUUUCACUCAGAAUAGGAAAAUAUAGACAUUUCCAAAAGGGCCUUGAAGUGGCCUUGUCAUUUAUUAAAGAGUAGAGUAACAAUGGAAAUACAGAUGAUAAUUAAAAAUGUUCCCUUUUAAAAUCCAAGUCAAAUUACAUCAGUGACCACCGGAGCCAAAAAGCCUUAGACAGCUUUCCCUAGAGCUCUUAGACUUACAAAAGUCGUGGAAGACAUUUCUGUGGUUUGAUAACAAAAUUAUUAUUCUCUUUUUAUAUGUGUCUAAAUUUAAAUGGAAGGAUACCAAAAUGAUUGAAGAGAAAAGUUAAAUGUGUCUAAACUGAAUGAGCGGCUACAGUGUAUUGUCAUCCAGGUCUCUCUCUCUCUCUCUCUCUCUCUCUCUCUCUCUCUCUCUCUCACAGCAAGACAGCAUUUAAAAAUGUUUUAAAUAACAAUCAACAGGUUAAAUUUGAAGGUAUUAAAUACUAUUCAACAUUGUCUUUUCUUUUCUUAUCGCUUAAUGUUUACUUGACAAUGUCCCAGCAGUAACAGCCUUUCAAUGUCCUCUACUUCCUUCCAUCAGCCAAGGAUAUUAUUGGUAGCUAAUUCAUUAAUUUUUGCCUAAACCAAAGGCUGAGGGGGAGGCCCCAGGUAGGCUUUCCCCUCCCCAGUGGGAGGGAUAGUCCAUCAGCCUGAA